UACGGGAGGCAGCAGUGGGGAAUCUUGGGCAAUGGGCGAAAGCCUGACCCAGCGACGCCGCGUUGGGGAUGAAGCCCUUCGGGGUGUAAACCCAUGUUGUAGGGGACGAAGAAAGUGACGGUACCCUACGAGGAAGCCCCGGCUAACUACGUGCCAGCAGCCGCGGUAAU
rnacentral:rRNA from 1 species